GACGAACGCUGGCGGCGUGCUUAACACAUGCAAGUCGAACGGAAAGGCCCUGCUUUUGUGGGGUGCUCGAGUGACGAACGGGUGAGUAACACGUGAGUAACCUGCCCUUGACUUUGGGAUAACUUCAGGAAACUGGGGCUAAUACCGGAUAGGAGCUCCUGCUGCAUGGUGGGGGUUGGAAAGUUUCGGCGGUUGGGGAUGGACUCGCGGCUUAUCAGCUUGUUGGUGGGGUAGUGGCUUACCAAGGCUUUGACGGGUAGCCGGCCUGAGAGGGUGACCGGCCACAUUGGGACUGAGAUACGGCCCAGACUCCUACGGGAGGCAGCAGUGGGGAAUAUUGCACAAUGGGCGGAAGCCUGAUGCAGCAACGCCGCGUGCGGGAUGACGGCCUUCGGGUUGUAAACCGCUUUCGCCUGUGACGAAGCGUGAGUGACGGUAAUGGGUAAAGAAGCACCGGCUAACUACGUGCCAGCAGCCGCGGUGAUACGUAGGGUGCGAGCGUUGUCCGGAUUUAUUGGGCGUAAAGGGCUCGUAGGUGGUUGAUCGCGUCGGAAGUGUAAUCUUGGGGCUUAACCCUGAGCGUGCUUUCGAUACGGGUUGACUUGAGGAAGGUAGGGGAGAAUGGAAUUCCUGGUGGAGCGGUGGAAUGCGCAGAUAUCAGGAGGAACACCAGUGGCGAAGGCGGUUCUCUGGGCCUUUCCUGACGCUGAGGAGCGAAAGCGUGGGGAGCGAACAGGCUUAGAUACCCUGGUAGUCCACGCUGUAAACGGUGGGUACUAGGUGUGGGGUCCAUUCCACGGGUUCCGUGCCGUAGCUAACGCUUUAAGUACCCCGCCUGGGGAGUACGGCCGCAAGGCUAAAACUCAAAGGAAUUGACGGGGCCCCGCACAAGCGGCGGAGCAUGCGGAUUAAUUCGAUGCAACGCGUAGAACCUUACCUGGGUUUGACAUGGAUCGGGAGUGCUCAGAGAUGGGUGUGCCUCUUUUGGGGUCGGUUCACAGGUGGUGCAUGGCUGUCGUCAGCUCGUGUCGUGAGAUGUUGGGUUAAGUCCCGCAACGAGCGCAACCCUUGUUCACUGUUGCCAGCACGUUAUGGUGGGGACUCAGUGGAGACCGCCGGGGUCAACUCGGAGGAAGGUGGGGAUGACGUCAAGUCAUCAUGCCCCUUAUGUCCAGGGCUUCACGCAUGCUACAAUGGCUGGUACAGAGAGUGGCGAGCCUGUGAGGGUGAGCGAAUCUCGGAAAGCCGGUCUCAGUUCGGAUUGGGGUCUGCAACUCGACCUCAUGAAGUCGGAGUCGCUAGUAAUCGCAGAUCAGCAACGCUGCGGUGAAUACGUUCCCGGG
rnacentral:rRNA from 1 species